AAUCCGGUUGAUCCUGCCGGACCUGAUUGCUAUCGGAUUGGUACUAAGCCAUGCGAGUAAGUGUAGCAAUACACUGCAGACGGCUCAGUAACACGUGGUCAAGCUAACCUAUGGACGUGGAUAACCUCGGGAAACUGAGAAUAAACCGCGAUAGGUCAUGGUGCCUGGAAUGGCCCAUGGUCGAAAUAGUUUACUGCCGUAGGAUGCGACUGCGGCCUAUCAGUUUGUUGGUGAGGUAAUGGCCCACCAAGACUAUUACAGGUACGGGCUCUGAGAGGAGAAGCCCGGAGAUGGGUACUGAGACACGGACCCAGGCCCUAUGGGGCGCAGCAGGCGAGAAACCUUAGCAAUGUGCGAAAGCACGACUGG
rnacentral:rRNA from 1 species